rnacentral:lncRNA from 1 species
GAGUGCCCAUAUAUUUGCUAUCGCAAAACGAAAAGACG